rnacentral:rRNA from 1 species
CUACGGGCCGCAGCAGUCAUGAAUCUUCCCCAAUGCACGAAAGUGUGAGGGAGCGACGCCGCGUGAGUGAAGAAGCUCUUCGGAGUGUAAAACUCUUUUAACUGGGAAAAAUUAGCGAUGGUACCAGAAGAAUAAGGGGCUGCUAACCUCGUGCCAGCAGCAGCGGUAAUACGAGGGCCCCGAGCGUUAUCCGGAUUUAUUGGGCGUAAAGAGCUAAAAGGUGGUUUGAUAAGUCUUUAGUAAAAGCUGGAAGCUCAACUUCCAGACUGCUAAAGAAACUAUUAAACUAGAGGAUGGAAGAGGUAGAUGGAAUUGCCGGUGUAGUAGUGAAAUGCGUUAAUAUCGGCAGGAACACCAAAAGCGAAAGCAGUCUACUGGAACAUUCCUGACACUAAAUAGCGAAAGCGUGGGGAGCGAAUGGGAUUAGAUACCCCUGUAGUC